UCGUACAAUUCAAGAGUGUUAUGAAAUAAUCUUCAGGUAAUGAUUAUCGGCUUGAAUUAACUCCGUUAGAGAAUUAUUGAUUUACAUUUAUUAUUUUUUUUUGUUGUGGUCGUAGUUUGCUGCAGUGCAACAUGAACUGUUUCUUAUACUUUGGUUACCUUAUUUAGUCACAAAGAUUUCAAAUAUCAAACACCCAACACAACGGUUAUUCCAAUUCAUACAAAGAUAAACGUUGCUCAAUGUGUUUGGCGUAGUCAAUAGACGAAUGUAUAUGGAAAGGCGGAAUGUUUUAUACAGCUUUUUGACCAGAUUUGAAGUUGUGCUAAUGUUUGUUUGAAGUGUACAUACAGUGUUCUUCUUUUUCAUUUUAUUUUUUUAUUUCAUAACACAUUGUUUCAAGACAUUUUAUUUGUUACAAUCAAUUUUUUAUUGUAUUCAACUAUAAACAUAGAUCAGUAUCUCUUCCCGCAACCAACCGCUCUAAAGUCAGGAGCAAACUAUUCACGAGAUAAUAAUUGCGCAUAUUUAAGGAGAUCAAAAUAGAUGCAUGGAAUAUUAAAAAUAGUUACUCACCCCAAAUUGCAAAGUCUCUCCUCCACUCAAUCCACUCAGUUCCAGAAAAUCUCACCACUUCCUCAAAGUAUAAAGGCAGGCAUCUUAUUCAGUGGUCUCUGUCUGGGAGAUGCUUGUCGGUCCACAGGAGCUGGCCAAUUUAUCAUAUCGGAGAGUGCGCCCCCACUACGGCUGCUUGCGUGCACACGGCUGACAAAUGGAGACGGGGCGAGAUGGCUCAGCCUCAACCACCCAAAAAAACAUGUAAUAGGCGUCUACAAAGUAAAUAGUCCGUCUGAAAUGGUGUAUUUAUGUUGCUGUGUGGACAGAAGUGUUUCAGAGACAAACACAGCAGCUGCGCUCUUUCUUCUCCUUACAUGGAGACAAUCUGUGUGUUUAUACGGCACCGACAUGAGGCUGAGACACAACGCAUUACUCCGGGCUGAGGACAUGUAUUCCGUCCAAGUACUGCAUUUCAUCACCUACAUGCUAAAAGAAUACUACAGUGGCUGUUGGUUGAACUCAAAAUAGUUUGAAUUAAAGAUGGAGUGGUGGGGGGGGGGGUGAUCAUUCCAUUGAGAAAUAAUGGAUUUUGAGUUACUGUACAUUCUCAACGGUUAAGCAAGUGCAAAGGAAGUUAACCACUUAAUGAUAUAUUUUUUAAAAUGACCAAGCACAUCUUAGAAUUGAUGAUGCAAAACGGCGCAAAGCUAGUUAGUUACAGUAGAUGCAUGCUAAACUGAAGCGCCACUGGCAAAUAUCCCGCAUCAAGUUUUUGUCCAAAUUUUGUGGCAUAUUUUCCCGCCCAAAAUGUUGACUUUUUUUUUCCUCAUCUUAACAUUCAAAAUACAGUAUAAGGUUCUGUUUCUCAUUGGAUGAACAGUUUUAUUUUUUAAAAUUCCUGCUGUUGCUAAGAAAGUACAUCCUCUGCUCGGCCUUGAUGAGGGAGGGACCGUGUGUGCGUGUGAGUGUGUGUGUGUGUGUGUGUGUGUGUGUGUGUGUGUGUGUGUGUGCGUGCGUGCACAUUGAACGCGUCUCCAUAAGACAGUUUUCCCCAUAAGGUAGUGAAGGCUUGACUUCUGGAGACUCCUUUCAUCAUGAGACCCGAAUUAGAUUCAUUACGAGGAUCUGUAUAUUAAAUUACUGAAAACAAAAAUGAAAGAUAACAUUUCAUUCAAAGUGUUUUUGGAAAUACUUUUCCAAUUUAAAGCCAAACUUUAAAUGGACUCGACCUCUGACAGCGCAAGCUUAAAUAGACCAAAAUGUCCGAAUCUACUCUCUUCUGGUGCAAAAUGGGUUCUUCUGCCAAUCAAAACAAUUGAUCAUACACGUAAUGGUUUUAUAGCUACCCCAGGAAUGCGGCCAUCUCAUUCUCAUCUCAUCUCGCCAGCAGUGCAUUAACGUCAUUCAUUGCAAUUUCACACAGACAGGCACACAAUCUACAAUAACCUCCGCCAUGGCCCGAGUCUCGUUCAAUUUAGAGACUCUUGCUAGUUUUCACCUGUUGUGUAUCACAUGGAAAUGCCCUUGAGGCACACAAUAAAUGUUCUGUGGUCAGGAAUUUCAGCAGCAGCGGCGUAAAAAAAAAAGAAAAAGAAAAAAAAGAGCGCAAACAAUGAUUUAAAGUGCUGUCACAGACUUGCCUGCUCGCACACCUUUAAAUCUCCCUUGCAUUUCAUCUUUCAUCAACAGCAAUGUCAACAUGCGAGCAGUCAGCCACCCCUCAAUGCGAGCAUUACAAUGCAAUCUUUUUUUCAGUUGCCAGUACUUCUUUCACUGAUCAAUGUGUUGCUUCUACAAAACUUGGCAGUGCCCUGGCCGAGGUCCAGAGAAUUUGUAGUGUUGUCCGGCUUUCUAGCUCUGCUCUUUUCUCCAUUGCCUCACAGUUUAUGAUUGUUUUGGACAUAAUGUACCAAUUGUUUUUCUCAACAGCGACAUGCUCAUCUUGUCUAAAUGAUAACGUUCCUUUGUAGAAGCAAGAGAAGAGCCACGUGGAGUUAUGAUAGUUAUGUUAAUGUGUCGCUUUUAUCCCAGGGUAUGUUUUAGAAUUCAAAUGACACCGACUAAAAGCAGUUGAUCCACUUUCAGCAGUUCUCUAGGCUCAUUUUGGACCAUUUCCUGUGCCUUAAAGCACAUAGUUUUGAAUGACACUGUGCAUGGAUUAGAAGAGCAACUUGUGAAAUUGCUGCCCACUUUGCGUGUGGGCGUGCGUGUAUCACAAAAGUUCAGUCGGGUGCCAUCCAGUGUCAUUUGCGAAUAGUUUGGGGGUUUUCAUUGCAGUUAGUUUUUAUUUCGUUUUGUCGUUUGUUUUUUUAAUUCGGUUAAUUUUAAUUUGUUUUUAGAAUGAGGUUUGUUAGUUUUUAAUUCAUGUAUUUUUUUCUCAAUGCUUAUUGCAGGCAUUUUUAUUAGAUUUAGAAUUAGCUUUAAGUUUUUUUUUUAAUGGAGUACUGUAUUUGGCGAGUGAUAAAUAUGUAAAUAAAAAAAGCUCACUAUGUUGAGCUUAUGGUGGCAACAGUUUGAGUAUGGACUGGGCUAGACAAGAAAAGUGAGUACGGGUAGUUUUGCUUCAUUGCACUUCAGCAUUGUUUUAUGAUGGAGCAUUGCCCUUCUUAUUACACUUGUAUGGCAGUUAAUAAUGUCGAAAGGUUACUUAAAACAUUGUAGUUAAAGAUUUUUUUUUGUCAUGACUGGAGUGUAUUUAUUAUAAUUCCUUUUGUUUUCUAUGGAAAAAAACACUUGAAUCUUUAAAUACAAAGUACAUUUUGAAGCAGAAACAAGAUGUUGCUAUCGGAACAUUAAUGCUAAAAGUGAACGAGGAGUGCAUUUUUUCCCAUGCCAGUUAUUUUCUUGCUGUCGGCGUCGUUGAGCGUUCGUUUAGAAUGUAUGACGGGAAGCGAGGCGAACAGAUUGGCAAUGAACUCUUGACAACCUCCACGGGGCUCGCUGGUUGGCGCUUCAAUAAUUCAGCAGUCAAAUCGUGCUACGCGACCAGAUUCUAUCUACAUAGUGGACUGGCAACUUGUCAAGAUAGUCGUGAUGAAAAAAGGCAUCCAUGGGAAAGCGCUGCAAUCUGAGGGGGAAAUAAUGUCAUUGAUUUUAUAUCAUGGAGUUUAUUUAAAAUAUUUACACAGUGAUCUGUUUUCGGCUCAGAGUUUGCAGUCACAAAUCAAUUUUAAUCUGGAUCUGAUCUUUAUUCUCGCCAGUAACUAUGGAAUGUGUAAAAUACCAGUGAACAUUUUCAAAUACUUCUACGCUUACAUGUCUGGUGUGGUUUGAUUAUCGAAAUUUGAACAGAAAAUGACCUUGAUAUGAUUAGUAAUAUCUCAGAUCGUAGCUGCUAACCUCUCAGGAUAGAUUUUUUCACCCAAAAAAAAACGCAACGCAAAAAAAAUACAUAACCGAUUGUCAUAAAAAUCUCGAUUUAGUUUUGGUGAGGAUCUGGAUU